GGAAGUGGUAGCUCAGUGGUUAGGACGUCGGACUUCUGAUCGGAAGGACGUGAGGUCAAACCCCAGCACUGCCG